GAACAUCUAGUGGUUGAAAAUCCGACUACUUGAAAAAUUUAGUCAUCGUUAAUUGCCAUGUGAUAUGGAAGUGAGUGCGUUUACAUACGUUUGUUACGUCCCCUAAAUUUUGUAUUUCAAAGAAUACUUUUAGCAAAAAAUUAACAUUGACCUUGUCAUCUGAGAAAGUUAGCAACCAGAUGAUUUUGGGCAAGCUAUGACUGCCACUCGUCAUCAUCCUAUUAUCCAGUGAGAGGAUUCACAUUCGGUUUGCCACUGUGUACUAGGCAUAGUACUUUCAUUGCUAUCAAGAUCAUGACCCUAAACACACAAGGGAUGCUGACACUGUAGUUUACCAUUAUUUUUCAUCCGUUGAUUGCAGCAUAGUCAUAUGUGUUGGGAAACAUCCACGUUUCCAUCAUCAAACAGUCAAAUAUUCCAUAACCAAACGUCAUCAAACAUCUACCAAUCCAUCACGUUUCCAGAAGCCGGGUCCUCACCAUUACUAAGCCAGCUAUAAACCUGCAUAGGCUUUGAGACUAUAUCUACCAAUUGGACUGCAAAUAUUAAUCUUCCAUCUGUGAAACACUGCUGUUCUGAAAAUUUCUGCAGUUUCGCCCCAGGAUCACAUGCAACUAUAUUUCUUGAUCUUCCGGCUGUUUUUGUCUUCACCUCAUCGCUGUCUUCUUUGACGUCUUUGCCUCAUCGCCGUCUUCAUCUACGCUGUCGCCUUCGCCUCAUCGCCGUCUUCAUCUACGCUGUCGCCUUCGCCUCAUCGCCGUCUUCAUCUACGCUGUCGCCUUCGCCUCAUCGCCGUCUUCAUCAACGCUGUCGCCUUCGCAUCAUCGCCGUCUUCAUCUACGCUGUUGCCUUCGCCUCAUCGCAGUCUUCGUCCCAUUGCCAUCUACGAUCCAUGUAUCCAAAAAAUCCAUGGCCUAGUAACGCGGAAAAGAGGACCGAAAAGAGUGCUUCUCAGCAGACAGCCUACGGCGAUGGAGAGAGGUCACCAUGGAACGUCGCUUUGGUAUUGUUUUGAUUUGCAUUGUAGUGUGUAAGUUAACCCGUUGGCUGCCACCCCGUUUGCGUCCCAUUUUUUUUUUAGCUUGUAGGGACUGGGCGCUGUUCUGCCCCUGGUCUAUGCCAUGGGGGGAACAGUCGCCGCGCCUAAAGGCUUUCUGCCUUUAGGCGCCGUAGGCAAUGCACCAGUAGGGACUUCUCUUUGUCGGUGCGGUGAUAGAUUCCUGGGGUGUGCAUUCCCGGAAUGGUUUCUAUCACCGUGCCAGCCCGGACUUGUCUUCGGACAAGUCCCACCUUUUUCGCGAUCCUUCUGACGUGAUGCGUAGCAACUGUAGUUUAAGCAACCUACGGGUUGCAUGGCCUGGCAGCCAACGGGUUAACUUAGUAUAAGUGUAUGUAUAUUUGUGUAUGUGUUAACAUGUAUUUUAAUUUGUAUGAUGUGUUAUGUAAA
rnacentral:misc_RNA from 1 species